rnacentral:rRNA from 1 species
GACGAACCGUGCGAACGUUGUUCGGAAUUACUGGGCGUAAAGGGCGCGUAGGCGGCCUGUUAAGUCGAACGUGAAAUCCCCGGGCUCAACCCGGGAACUGCGUCCGAAACUGGCAGGCUCGAAUUCGGGAGAGGGAUGCGGAAUUCCAGGUGUAGCGGUGAAAUGCGUAGAUAUCUGGAGGAAUACCGGUGGCGAAGGCGGCAUCCUGGACCGGCAUUGACGCUGAGGAGCGAAAGCCAGGGGAGCAAACAGG